rnacentral:rRNA from 1 species
UACGGGGGGGGCAAGCGUUGUUCGGAAUUACUGGGCGUAAAGGGCUCGUAGGCGGCCAACUAAGUCAGACGUGAAAUCCCUCGGCUUAACCGGGGAACUGCAUCUGAUACUGGAUGGCUUGAGAUUGGGAGAGGGAUGCGGAAUUCCAGGUGUAGCGGUGAAAUGCGUAGAGAUCCGGAGGAACGCCGGUGGCGAAAGCGGCCACCUGGGUCUGACCUGACGCUGAGGUGCGAAAGCGUGGGGAGCAAACCGG